UGUUGUGAUUGAAUGGGUGUGACGGUUCCCGUUGGAAUUUGGGUGAUUUGUAGCUCCGCCUACGACUCACCUCAAUCUGCAGUUCAUUGC